GUGUGACAUGUGUGUGACAUGUGUGUGACAUGUUAACAGCUGUUGGAUGCAUUAGGCUGGCGUUCAUGAUCCUCAUAGGAUACAUUGUCAUUUGAAUAUAUAUUCUACCUGUUAUUUAUCUGUUUGUGCUCUCAUAGGCCGCUCUGGAUGAAGGUUUGUGUCUUCAACGAGGUCUUCAUGAAGUGCUCACAGAACGAGAGUUUCUUCUUAACUGUCUGGGAACAAAAGUGACAAAGAAACUGGAGAAAAGUGCUUCAGAUGCUCUCAGUGAAAGCACGGCUGCACUCAAAACGUUAUCUAAACGCCUGAUCAGUCGAGGUCAUGGUGAAGUGCAGUUGGACAAAGAGUUGCCAGGCAGAGUUGCAGCGUGCAGUUUUGCUUCCCCCGAUGAAACUACAGCUCUGUGUCCUCCUGCUUCUUCUUCUUCUUCUUCUUCUUCUGAAAGUGGUCAGAACCCCAGUGUCACACUCCUGGUGGGACCUCCAGCGACAGAGCCACACAACUCCCCCCUUUCUACCAGUGAACAGCAAUCAGAAACAUUUGAGGCGGUCACAGAUGCUCGAGAACGAGAGAAACACUCCGAGGACAUCAGUGCGAUCCCAAAGAAAGUGUUUUCAAUAGUGUUGGACAUGGAGCAAAAUGAGAAUUACAGUCCAGACUUUGAAAGCCUUCAUCGGGCAGCACGCUCAGAGACAUUUAAAACAGUCACUGACGCUCGAGAGAAGAAGGAAUCCAGUGAGGAUAUCAGUGUGAGCCCAAGUAAAGUGUUUACAAUAGUGUUGGACAUGGAGAUGCCUGAGGACCGUGUUGCAGCCAGCCGUCCAGAUGUACUCAGACAGGAAGCAGAGGUGUGCGACGCUCAGCUCACAGACCAGUCAAGUAUUCUUGAGAAUACAUCCGGACUCUUUACAACACCAACGAGUCCUGAAUCAGAUGAAACGGACUUGAAUUAUUUAAUGAAUGAGUCUCAAGUGUUGGACUCACUGGCAGGAAACCCUCUGGUGUUAGUAUGUAGAGAAUCGGAGGAUUCUACAAGCGCCAGAAUAUCCUGCAAAGAAAAGCCAGACACCCGUGAAUUAAUGCACAUUGAGGUGUUGAACUCCUCCAAAUCAUGUGGCGGUGUUACUGAAUGUCUGCUCACCGGCGCACGUGCAGCAGCAACAACAUCUCCGGAAGUCAAACAAGAGAAGAAGACAGAUUUCUGGCACGCCGGAGAGCAAACGACGAGCUCAGUCUUGUGCACGGUGGAAGGAGAAGCUUUAACUGACACACGAAUACCUGCCGGUGACAAUAAACAGCUGACUGUUGCUGACACGGCACAGAGCGCAGGAACGGGACAGGAGCAGAGGGCAGACGGGGGUGACACGGUAGAAGCAAGUGACCCUGAACACACGCAGUCCAAACUUUUGAAAGGGCCAAAAAGACGAGACAAAGCUGCGCAGCUGUUUGAAGAAGGUGAAUGGAAGGGACCUGCAUCGCUGGAGGACACGGAGGACACACAGGGGCAGCCGCAGAUCCAAGACAGCAUGGAGCCUGCGAGGACGGCGGCCGAUCUGCCGGUCGAGGAGGCGACAGGCGGAUCACCAGAGUCCUACAAACACAAGUCCACCAUGCAGGACGUUUUGUCUGACAUCCAGAGCUUGGUGGAAAAAAGUAACAUCAUAAAUCGGAACCCACACAUUGAUUUGAACUGGUACCUGAAGUCCUCUCCGGGUGAACCUGAGAUUCGAUUGGUACGAACUGUCCAAAAGGUUCUGGCAUGUCGUUAUCAACCAGCACAACUCGACGUCCCCGUAAUGGCCAAACAACUGCAGGAGGCAGAGGUAUGCACGUCUGCUAAACCCUUUUCCUUUGUUGUGACAAAUGUACUUAACUUUCUCUAAAUGAAGUACAAAAUACAAAAGAUGUCCCAUCGUUCUAUCUGUCGUCCCGCUCUGUCUGCUGUAGGACUACAGGCGCUGUGUGCAGGAGCAAGUUGCUACUAUGAAGAGCAUGAGCGCUGCCAGGAUUUGUCACCCAGAUGCCUUGAGCAGAGUUGAAGGACAGUGCAGUGCUGCGCUGCUGGACGCCUCUGCCACUGUGCAGGUCAAAGCAGCACAGCUGGAUCAGGUCCAACAGUACCACAAACAGAUGAAGAUCACCAGAGCUUUCCUGGAGGUUGUAGCAGCUGAGAAGGACAAGAUAACCUUGU
ensembl:lncRNA